rnacentral:rRNA from 1 species
GAUGAACGCUAGCGGCAGGCCUAACACAUGCAAGUCGAGGGAGAAGCCCUUCGGGGCAGAAACCGGCGCACGGGUGCGUAACGCGUAUGCAACCUACCUUUCACAGGGGGAUAGCCCGAAGAAAUUUGGAUUAAUACCCCAUAAUAUUAUUGGAUGGCAUCAUUUGAUAAUUAAAAUUACGAUGGUGAAAGAUGGGCAUGCGUCCUAUUAGCUAGUUGGAGUGGUAACGGCACCCCAAGGCUACGAUAGGUAGGGGUCCUGAGAGGGAGAUCCCCCACACUGGUACUGAGACAGGGACCAGACUCCUACGGGAGGCAGCAGUGAGGAAUAUUGGUCAAUGGUCGGAAGACUGAACCAGCCAUGCCGCGUGCAGGAAGAAUGCCUUAUGGGUUGUAAACUGCUUUUAUAUGGGAAGAAUAAGGAGUACGUGUACUUUGAUGACGGUACCAUAUGAAUAAAGCUUGG